rnacentral:rRNA from 1 species
UACAGAGGGUGCAAGCGUUAAUCGGAAUUACUGGGCGUAAAGCGUGCGUAGACGGUUAUUUAAGUCAGGUGUGAAAGCCCCGGGCUCAACCUGGGAAUUGCAUUUGAGACUGAAUAGCUAGGGUGCGGAAGAGGGAAGCGGAAUUUCCGGUGUAGCGGUGAAAUGCGUAGAUAUCGGAAGGAACACCAGUGGUGAAAGCGGCUUCCUGGUCCAGCACCGACGUUCAGGCACGAAAGCGUGGGGAGCAAACAGG